GAUACAAAAUCAACAUACAGAAAUCUGUUGCAUUUCUAUACAUCAAUAAUGAAGCAGCAGAAAGAGAAAUUAAGGACUCAAUCCCAUUUACAAUUGCACCAAAAACAAGAUACUUAGAAAUAAAUUUAACCAAAGAGGUGAAAGACCUAUGGUGUGGAAACUAUAAAACACUGAUGAAAGAAACAGAAGAUGAUACAAAGAAAUGGAAAAUAUUUUAUACUCAUGGAUUGGAAGAACAAAUAUUGUUAAAAUGUCUAUACUAUCCAAAGCAAUCUUCACAUUUAAUGUAAUCCCAAUCAAAAUAUCAAUAGCACUUUUCAUGGAGCUAGAACAAAUAAUCCUAAAAUUUGUAUGGAACCAUGAUGACUCUGAAUAGCCAAAGCAACCUUGCAAAAGAAAAGCAAAACUAUAGACACCACUACUCCAGACUUCAAGUUAUAUUACAAAGCUGUAGUGAGGGCAGUCCCGGUGGCUCAGCAGUUUAGCACCACCCUCAGCCCAGGUCCUGGUCCUGGAGACCUCAGAUCGAGUCCCAUGUCGGGCUCCCUGUGUGGAGCCUGCUUCUCCCUCUGCCUGUGUCUCAGCCACACACACACACCCCUCCCCGUAUCUUUCAUUAAUAAAAAAAAAAAAAAAAAAAAAAAACCCACAAAGCUACAGUGAUCAAAACAUAUAGCACUAUGGUACUGACACAAAAAAAACAGGUAGAUCAAUGGAACAAAAAAGAAAAUCCAGAAAUAAACCCGUAAUUAAAUGCUUAGUUAAGUUUUGACAAAACAGGAAAGAAUAUCCAAUGGGAAAAAGACAGUCUCUUCAAGAAAUGGUAUUGGGAAAACUGGACAACAACAUGCAAAAGAAUUAAACUGGACCAUUUUCUUACACCAUACACAAAAAUAGACUCAAAAUGGAUUAAAGACCUAAAUGUGAGACCUGAAACGAUAAAAAUUCUAGAAGAAAGCACAGGCAGUAAUUUCACUGACAUCAGCCCUAGCAAUGUCUUUCUGGAUAGGUCUUCUGAGGCAAGGGCAACAAAAGCAAAAAUAAAUUAUUGGAACUUCAUAAAAAAAGCAUCUGCACAAUGAAAGAGACAAUAAAACUAAAAAGCAACCUAUGGAAUUGGAGAUUACAUAUCUGCUAAUGACACAUCUCAUAGCAGGUUAGUAUCCAAAAAUAUAUGAAGGACUUAUAAAACUCAACACUCCUUCCCAAAUGAAUAAUCCAAUUAAAAAUGGGCAGACAUGAACAUUUUUCCAAAGAAGACCUAGAGAUGGGCAACAGACCCAUGAAAAGAUGCUCAACAUCACUCAUCAUCAGGGAAAUACAAAUCAAAACUACGGAGAUACCCUCUUACACCUGUCAGAAUGGCUAAAAUCAAUAACACAAGGAACAGUAUGUGUUGGUGAGGAUGUGGGGAAAGCGGAAUCAACUGUCUCACACUGUUAGGAAUGCAACUUGUGCAGCUCCUAUGGAAAAUGGUACGGCGGUUCCUCAAAAAAUUAAAAAAUAGAACUACUGACAAUUCAGAAGUUGCACCACUACAUAUUUAUCCGAAGAAUACAAAAGUACUAAUUCAAAGUGAUAUAUCCCCUGCCAUGUUUAUCGCAGCAUUAUCUACAACACCCAAACUAUGGAAACAGCCCAAGUAUCCAUCAACUGGUGAUAAAGAAGAUGUGCUAUAUACAUAUUCAGCGUAAUAUUCGUCAUAAAAAAGAAUGAAAUAUUGCCAUUUCCAACAACAUGAGUGGAGCUAGAGAUUAUUAUACUAAGCAAAAUAAGUCAGAGAAUGACAAAUACCAUAUGAUUUCACUCACUUGUGGAAUUUAAGAAACAACAAAUAAGUAAAGGGAAGCAAACCAGAAACAGAUGCUUAACUGUAGAGAACAAACUGAUGGUUCCAGGAGGGGAUGGGUGAAAUUGGUGAUGAUGGUUAAGGAGUGCAUUUUUUGUAAUGGUGAUAUAUGGAAGUGUUAAAUUACUAUAUUGCAUACCUAAAAUCAAUUUAACACUGUAUAUUAACCAAUUGGAAUUUAAAAACUUAAAAGAUAUAAAAAGUAAAAUUACGAUCUAAAGAAUGUCAAUCAGUCUGGUAAAAGACUGAAUUAUUCUUUACAUUCUAUAGGGGAAAUAUUGUA
rnacentral:lncRNA from 1 species